UCAGGUCCUCGUUAGGUGAGGCUCCUAUACAAAUACAGGCCACUGCCCGGAAACAUCGAAAGAUGCCAAUGGGUAGAACAGGGAUUGCCGGAUUAAGGCUUUUCAUAAUGUGGCUAAGGGCUCAUGCUCUUUACGUUGUAUAGUGCCAAAGCUGUGACUAGGGGGAAUGAA
rnacentral:sRNA from 2 species